GAGGGGAGGGGUGAAUAGAAAGUAGGCAGGCUUCUGGGAGGAUGGGGCCCAGCACCCACAGCCUGGGCUGGCUGCCUGAGAGUGGAGAGUGACAGAGGACCACUGCUCAGGCUCAGAGGCACACAAAAGUGGGCAUCCAGCCAUGCUCUAAGCCCCCUGAAGAUGAAGACCAGGGAGCAGCUUCCUCCAAUGAAACAGGAGCAAUCAGGGUACCAGGAGGCUGAAGCCGUGAGCCCAGCCAGAGGCAGGAUCAGCCAAGUCUGGGACAGGCUUCAUUUUAGGAGCUUCUGGUUCCUGGGGCUUCAGACUUGGACUAGAACUUCACUACCAGCCUUCCUGCGUCUCCAGCUUGCAGAUAGCAGAUCGCAGAACUUCUUAACCUCCAUAAUCACAAGGACGUGUUUGCUUUCCCUUCCACCAUGAUUGUAAGUUUCCUGAGGCCUCCCCAGCCCUGCGUAACUGCUUUGAAGAAGACCACUGCAUUGGUAUUUGCAAAAUGUUUUGAGCCUCGAGGUUUAAAUAAGUGUAUGUCCUCUGCCCCGCAUACCAUGGUGUAAGCCCCAGGAGAGCAGAAACUUCCUCUGUCUACCCGAUGGUGCUGAAGCCUCAGAGCCUGGAUCAGUGUCAGGUACGGAGAAGGCACUCUGGUGGAAACCUCAGUGGCAACAUUCAGCUCACAGUGGGAAACUCGGACCUUCAGACCAGGGAAGGGGGCGGUUUGAAGAUGUGAGUCUGGAGUGUGACUGAUGAAGCCAAAAGCAGGCGCAAACUCUCUUUUUAUGACCAACUUUGGAUAAUGAGCUCAAGCCAUGUAUAAAAACGUUCCCCAAAAAAGUGCUUUUCUAGAUGAAAGGGAAAAAAUAGCUAAAGUGAUCCAUCUUCCUUUCUUUGAGGAAGGUUGGCUCCGCUUUUGUUGCUUCCAGGAAGAUUGCAUACACAUGUAAAACUGGGAAAACUUUAAUGAAGGGAAAAACUAAGAAGUAGGAGGGUGUACUCAAAUAUCAAGUUCUCCUCCACAUAGUAGCUGCCCCUGCCUUCAUUAACAGAACCAUUAAGAUACUUGUUGCUCCCUGUGCAUCGAUAUGAAGGGAGCUCAGGAUAUAGACUUAAAUCAAAACGAAGGACACAGAACAGUGGAAGCCAGGGGUGCCCAACUUUUUGGCUUCCCUGGGCCACAUCGGAAGAAGAAAAAUUGCCUUGGAUCACACGUAAAAUACACUAACGAUAGCUGACAAGCUAAAAAAAUCGCUAAAAACUCAUAAUAUUUUAAGAAAGUUUACGAAUUUGUGUUGGGACUCAUUCAAAGCCAUCCUGGGGUGCGUGCGGUCCGUGGGCCAUGGAUUGGACAAGUUAAGUAUAAACCGUAUGUUAUCUUUUGCAUUAAAAAGGUGGGGUAGAAUAAAAAAUACACUUACAUUUACAGGAACACUGUGGGGUAUAGAAGAAGCCGAUGUAACUGGCUAUACACUUCAAGGCCAGGGAAGUGGAGAGCAGGCACCAGUAUAGGAAUGAGAUGCCUUGAUUCAUACUUUCCAUGUUGUCUUGAUUCUUCAACCAUGUGAAUGUAUUAGCUGUUUUUAAAAUAAAAAAUGUAAUGAUCCUUGUUUA